UCCCUCCUACGGGAGGCAGCAGUGAGGAAUAUUGGUCAAUGGGCGGGAGCCUGAACCAGCCAAGCCGCGUGAGGGAAGAAGGUACAGCGUAUCGUAAACCUCUUUUGUCAGGGAGCAAAGGCGGGGACUAGUCCCCGGAUGAGGGUACCUGAAGAAAAAGCAUCGGCUAACUCCGUGCCAGCAGCCGCGGUAAUACGGAGGAUGCGAGCGUUAUCCGGAUUUAUUGGGUUUAAAGGGUGCGCAGGCGGCCUGUUAGGUCAGCGGUAAAAGCCCGGGGCUCAACCCCGGCGAGCGGGUGAAACUGG
rnacentral:rRNA from 1 species